rnacentral:lncRNA from 1 species
GAUUUCAAUUGCCUAGUUCCUGUCACAUUUAAACGUUUCUUCUAAUUUAAUUGAUACAUUUGGGAAAUAUCCCUUUGAAAAUAUUCAAUAUCUUCAAUCAUUGGAUUUAUAUAACAAUCAUUUUGAAUACAAUAGGAAAAUAUUUUACAACGGAUUAUUUGAAAAUCUGCAAAGAUUGAAAUAUUUAGAUAUUGGCAAAAAUAGUAUUGGAACGAACGAACCUAUAUAUCCGGAUGAAAUAUUUUGUCAUUUAAAGUCUCUACAAACUUUGAAAAUCGACAGCAUUCCUGGUGCUUCAUUUGGAAAAGGAUUUAGAAAUCUGACAAAAUUGAGAUUAUUAAAAAUUUACAAUAUGGGUCUAGCAGGAUAUUCUUCAGAUUACUUUGAAAAUGUUUCACAGAUUACAUCACUUGAUUUGUCAUGUUCCUUAACACCCGUAACACCCAAUAAUGAACAAGGUUGUUAUCUAAGACGUAUUGAAAAAGGUGCGAUAGCUAAACUACAAAAACUAAAGUAUUUAGAUAUAUCGCACAACCUAAAGCUAGGAUUUUGUGGACUUAAAAA